AUAUUUUUAAGUGGAAAUUACAUAAUUCAAGUGUUUAAAGAUUAGAAUUCAAAAAUAAGGGACCAAGUUUCAUUAUUCAAAAAUCAAGUAUGAAUAUGAUAAUAUUAUCCCUAAUUCAAUUCCAACCCUAAUUUUACUCUCUCUCACUCACUCACUCACUCUCCAUCUUCACCGGCUCUUCCUUUCCCUGUGCUAUGCCGCCGUUGGAGCACCCGCCGCUGGAGACCUUACCCAUUUCACUUCAAUUGAUGACAUCGUGUUGUCACCACCGCGUAAGCUGCAUUGUGACGAUCUUUACUACGCAGCGCGAUGGAUUUGUGUGAAUCACCGUGAGUUGCCACCGGGAAGCAAAUUCACUCACUUCGACAACUCUUCACAAGCGAAACACCACAACCAGCGCGCGAAGUAGAAGCAUCGUUGUAUGGUGGAUUUGGCGGUUGGGGGUGGUUUUGGAUGGUGGUUUGUGUGAUGGUGUUUGUGUGGUUGGUGUUUGUGUGGUAGCGUUUUUGUGGUUGUAUGGUGGAUUUGGUGAUUGGGAUGGUUUUGGAUGGUGGCUUAUGUGGUGUGGUGGCGUUUGUUUGCAGGCAAUGGCUGUGGUGUGGUGCGACCGCUGUGUUGCAAUGCGAUGUAGGUAGUGGCUAUGAUGAUAGUGUGGUUCAGGCNGAAGAAUCUAUAAAUAUAGCAAAUAAAAUAUAUAACUUUGGGUAAAAAAAUGAAAAUGGAAAAAAAAAAAAUAUGUAUAUGUUGUCGACAGAUUACUCAACUAGAUAUUAACUUACGGAGGAUUGAUAAAUAAGAAAAAUUAAGGGCCUGUUUGGUAAUGAUUUCGAGAAUUGAUUUUUUGACCGUUAGGAGAAAAGUGGAGGGUCACCCGUGAGAGAAGAAGUCAAAAAUUACGGCUAGAAUAAUGAAAUAACGGUCAAAAAAAUCAAUUUUUUGGGGUGAAAAAUCACUCCCAAAUGAGGCCUAAAUUAAAUUUUAGAUGAAAAUGAAAUAGCAAUGAUUUUUUUGAGAAUAAAAGAAUAGUUAAAAAACUUUGUGUAAGAAAUGUUAAAUAUUUUAAAUACAAAGGUCGUGAUUUGUUAUUUUCGAUUAUUGAUAUUCUGGUUUACUUAACAAUUUUUAAUGAUAAAUUUGUAAUUUUAUUUUCAGCAAAAAUUAUUUUUCCCUUUAAGAUGAGCAUUGUGAAGUAAAUGGGUCGAGUUUGAUCAGAGUUGCCCGUCUUAGUUUACAUCAACGCAACCCAAGAAUAAAAAGAUUAUGCAUUUAGUCUCAAAUCCAACUCAAUUUUCUAUGGGAAAAUUGACUUAAACAGCACUAAUAAUUGAAAGAAAACUCAAAAAUAUUUUACCAUUUUAUAACAGAUUUAGAAAGAUAAUAAGGUUUCACCUUUGCACUUUUCAACAAUAGUACAUUUUCAAUUUUUUAUAGAACUGAACUCCGAUUUAUAGGACUCAACUACGGGUCCAACGUGACAAAUAUCAGUUGCCUCCUUUAGAUCGACUUAGAUAGUUCACUCAUUCCCAAACAAAUAAUGAACUACAAUUUAUAGUUUAUAUUUUCGGACAUUAAAGAUUGGGGUUACAUAAUAACUGAUAUAUCGAUAUACUGAGGAUUCAAUCAAUCAAUACCUAGAAUAUAUUUUUGAGAUAUGAGAACAGGGAACCACAACUUUCUAUGGAGAGUCGAAUAUACUCUUAAACAUUUUUUGGUAGUCGAGAGAAUUCGAGGUUUUCCAAUACUUCGGUAAAAGUGCUGACUUGAGUAUCACAUUGAGCUCGUUAGAGGAAAAAAAUAGUACUCAAGGAUCAAUACAAUUGGAGAAUUGAUCCAUCUUGAGCACCCAUUUCUAAUUAAGUAGACAUUCAUUUAGAUAUUGAUAAUCAGGUUAGUCGAUCACGACGAAACUUAUAAUUUAAUUAAAUAAAAAGUUACGAAUUUUUUAACUUAUAAUUUAUAUGUAAUAUUGGAUUUCAAUGAAGUAGCUCAAUGUCGAUGAUUAAAGCCUCCGUGAUAAGAGUUGUCUAGAUCUAGGUUCAAUCAUUGAGCUUUAAAUUAUAAGAAUUCAUUUAAGUACGUAUGAUUAAAUUUGUAAAGUCGUAUACUUAGGUAAAGAACAAUUUAGAAGGGUGAGUAGGUUGUUAUCAAAAUUUUUAAUUUUCAAUCAAUUAUUGCAAAAUAAUUUUUUAUUCCAAUCAGAUACACAAUUAUAUCGACAGUUUUAUCACUCUAACUUCAGGUUAAUCCAACAGAAUACUGUUUUUCUCAAGGUUUUCAGAUACCUUUGAACACAUGUAUGAACAGUUUCUGUAGUGACUUAGAAAAAAAUUUUGUUCGUAAAUUAGCACACUAUGUAACGUGGUAAACCUUCUAAGGAAAACAUUCACAACCCCAUGUCACGGUUUAACAAUUCACUAUGAAAAUAUGAUACAAUCGUCUAAAAUCUUGAAAUUACAAAUACCAUUGAUCAUGUCAAUCAGACAAACUUCGUAAUGCAUCUCUCAGAUUGAAAUGAAUUUAAUAAAUGAAAUUUUAUCGUUUAAUUCCCACACUGGGUUAUUUUUUUCGACUUAUAGGUAUCAUUUUGACUUAUGAUUUUAAUUAACUAAAAUGGGUUAUAGGUAUCAUUUCGAAGAAUGUAUUUUUCUAACAUGAACCCACCUAGAGACACAAAUAUAUGUCUAUGUUGGUCUGGUCGGCACUCAUAAAGGAAAUCCAUAAAGAUAAAAACAAGAUUAGGCACUGGCAUUAGUGGAUAAAACGAUCAUUAAUAUUAAUAUUAAUAUUAUUAAUAAUUCAAUAAAGCUUAUGAAUUGGCAUAAUUCAGCAGUCUAAUGAUUAAAUAAUGGAGUUGCUGAGUCGUUAAUGACUCAUAAACCAAUAGAAAAUUGAUGGCUGAUUCACUUAAUUUUCUUCUUUUUCAUAUUGGAUUACUUGUCGCUUUCCACUAAUUCUGCUAUUUGAAUUUGGAUUAUUCAUUUUGUUUGAAAAUAAUUAGUUGCAUAGUUUUCGCAAAGCAAUAAAAUGACAAAAAGAAAAUCUUAAUGAUAUUAAGACUUGAGGUCCAUCUUAAUAAGGUCAACCUUAUUAAGUGGAGAAAUUCAAGAUCUUUAUAAAUUGGUAUUUAUUUCGAUAUUAAACUGAUGUGGGAUAACACAUCCUUUAACAGACCCCCUCAAGAUGGUGGCUCAUUUGAGCAGACUAAUCUUGAAAUUUAAGGGAUGACUCUGAUACCAUGUUAAGGCUUGUGGUCCAUCUUAAUAAGGUCAAUCUUAUUAAGUGGAGAAGCCUAAGAUCUUUAUAAAUUGGUAUUUGUUUUGGUAUUAAACAGAUGUGAGAUAACACAUCCCUUAACGAAUGAUCUAGACUCGUGACAAUACGAUGUUCUAAAGCGAAAUUGCGCACUGGAAAUUGAUGCGAUCUCUUUGAACAAUCACUCCCAAAAUAAGAACUCUCUAUUGUACUGUAUAACAAUAUCACAAAAUACCAGAAUAAUCUUAAAAAAUGACCUUUUUUAAAAUUAUAGAAAUUGAAUAAUGAUUUUAGUGUGUUUUUUCGAACGACAAAACUUGCAUGCGUGCGUGUGUGUGUAGGAAUUAUCUUAAAAAAUGACUUUCUUUAAAUUUAUAGAAAUUGAAUAAUGAUUUCAGUGUGUUUUUUCAAAGGACAAAGCUCGUAUAUGUAGAACCAAAUUUUUUAUAACUUCCACUGCAAUAAGCUAGGAUUUAACUAGGAAAAAAAACUAUAAUUUUUAUGAGGUUUUUAUGAUUUUAAUUAACCAUCCAAUAACUACCUUCAACUGCCAUUUUAGCACUGGUUCGUUGUGAAUUAAAUCGCCGACCUCCCAUAUAAAUUCCCCAAGUUUCACCAAUUAGGCAUCUUACCUAAUUUAAUUAUUUCUUUCAAGUAAUAUAUUUGAUACAUAUAAAAAAAUCUUCGUUAGGUGAAGUUUUUUCGAUUUAUAAUUUUCUAUACUUUUAAAUUUGUUUUCUAAUUAAGUGGUUGGAAUACUUCCUGACCUUCAAAUAUGUGAAUACAAUUAUUUGAACAUGUGGCAGUAUAUACGCAAAUACUUACCCGCGUAAAAGUUUAAUAUAACAUUCUAAGACUUGAAUUGAAGAAUUGAAGAAAAUAAGAAUCUUCUCAUAUGGUCACAAUAUAUUUUUAAGUGGAAAUUACAUAAUUCAAGUGUUUAAAGAUUAGAAUUCAAAAAUAAGGGACCAAGUUUCAUUAUUCAAAAAUCAAGUAUGAAUAUGAUAAUAUUAUCCCUAAUUCAAUUUCAACCCUAAUUUUACUCUCUCUCUCUCUCUCUCUCUCUCUCUCUCUCUCUCUCUCUCUCUCUCUCCAUCUUCACCCUCUCUUCCUUUCCCUGUGCUAUGCCGCCGUUGGAGCACCCGCCGCCGGAGACCUUACCCAUUUCACUUCAAUUGAUGACAUCGUGUUGUCACCACCGCGUAAGCUGCAUUGUGACGAUCUUUACUACGCAGCGCGAUGGAUUUGUGUGAAUCACCGUGAGUUGCCACCGGGAAGCAAAUUCACUCACUUCGACAACUCUUCACAAGCGAAACACCACAACUAGCGCGCGAAGUAGAAGCAUCGUUGUAUGGUGGAUUUAGCGGUUGGGGGUGGUUUUGGAUGGUGGUUUGUGUGAUGGUGUUUGUGUGGUUGGUGUUUGUGUGGUAGCGUUUUUGUGGUUGUAUGGUGGAUUUGGCGAUUGGGAUGGUUUUGGAUGGUGGCUUGUGUGGUGUGGUGGCGUUUGUUUGCAGGCAAUGGCUGUGGUGUGGUGCGACCGCUGUGUUGCAAUGCGAUGUAGGUAGUGGCUAUGAUGAUAGUGUGGUUCAGGCAAUGAUGAUGGUGAUUUUUUUUGGUGUGUUUGGUGGUGGGGGUCAUUGUGGUUUUUGGUGGCAACGAUUUUUUUGGCGGUGAUGCCGUGGUGUUGGUGUUGGUAGUGAUGUUGUUGUGGUGGUGGCGGUGGUGACAAGGUGAGGGUUGUUGUGAGUGAUGGUGGUGGCAAUGGAGUUGGUGGUGACCGACUAUUUGACAUGUAACCAACUGUUUGGUUAUUCGUGACCAACUGUUUAAUUGUAAUCUUAAAAUUCGAUAAUCUGUGACCAACAAAUUUGAAAAUAUGUGAUCGAUAUAUAAACUGCGACCUAUAAUUUUUUCAUCUGUGACUAAUGAAAUUAAUUGGGACCUACAAAAUUUUUGAUUUGUGAUCUCAAAAUAAUCUGUGACAUACAAAAUUUU
rnacentral:lncRNA from 1 species